AUUGAACGCUGGCAGCAGGCCUAACACAUGCAAGUCGGACGGUAGCACAGAGAGCUUGCUCUUGGGUGACGAGUGGCGGACGGGUGAGUAAUGUCUGGGGAUCUGCCCGAUAGAGGGGGAUAACCACUGGAAACGGUGGCUAAUACCGCAUAACGUCGCAAGACCAAAGAGGGGGACCUUCGGGCCUCUCACUAUCGGAUGAACCCAGAUGGGAUUAGCUAGUAGGCGGGGUAAUGGCCCACCUAGGCGACGAUCCCUAGCUGGUCUGAGAGGAUGAGCAGCCACACUGGAACUGAGACACAGUCCAGACUCCUACGGGAGGCAGCAGUGGGGAAUAUUGCACAAUGGGCGCAAGCCUGAUGCAGCCAUGCCGCGUGUAUGAAGAAGGCCUUCGGGUUGUAAAGUACUUUCAGCGGGGAGGAAGGCGAUGCGGUUAAUAACCGCGUCGAUUGACGUUACCCGCAGAAGAAGCACCGGCUAACUCCGUGCCAGCCGCCGCCGUAA
rnacentral:rRNA from 1 species